rnacentral:rRNA from 1 species
UACGAAGGGGGCUAGCGUUGCUCGGAAUUACUGGGCGUAAAGGGCUCGUAGGCGGCCAACUAAGUCGGACGUGAAAUCCCUCGGCUUAACCGGGGAACUGCGUCCGAUACUGGAUGGCUUGAGUGUGGGAGAGGGAUGCGGAAUUCCAGGUGUAGCGGUGAAAUGCGUAGAUAUCUGGAGGAACACCGGUGGCGAAGGCGGCAUCCUGGACCACGACUGACGCUGAGGAGCGAAAGCCAGGGGAGCAAACGGG